CCAGACUCCUACGGGAGGCAGCAGUGGGGAAUAUUGCACAAUGGGGGGAACCCUGAUGCAGCGACGCCGCGUGAGUGAAGAAGUAUUUCGGUAUGUAAAGCUCUAUCAGCAGGGAAGAAAAACCGACCAUAGGGUCGCUAGACGGUACCUGAUUAAGAAGCCCCGGCUAACUACGUGCCAGCAGCCGCGGUAAUACGUAGGGGGCGAGCGUUAUCCGGAUUCGCUGGGUGUAAAGGGAGCGUAGACGGCCAUGCAAGCCAGGGGUGAAAGCCCGGGGCCCAACCCCGGGACUGCCCUUGGAACUGCAUGGCUGGAGUGCCGGAGAGGUAGGCGGAAUUCCUAGUGUAGCGGUGAAAUGCGUAGAUAUUAGGAGGAACACCAGUGGCGAAGGCGGCCUACUGGACGGUGACUGACGCUGAGGCUCGAAAGCGUGGGGAGCAAACAGGAUUAGAUACCCCCGUA
rnacentral:rRNA from 1 species